rnacentral:rRNA from 1 species
AGUGAACGCUGGCGGCAGGCCUAACACAUGCAAGUCGAGCGGCAGCGGGUAUGUAGCAAUACAUAUGCCGGCGAGCGGCGGACGGGUGAGGAAUACAUCGGAACCUGCCUUUUCGUGGGGGAUAACGUAGGGAAACUUACGCUAAUACCGCAUACGCCCUACGGGGGAAAGAGGGGGACCGCAAGGCCUCUCGCGGAUAGAUGAGCCGAUGUCGGAUUAGCUAGUUGGCGGGGUAAAGGCCCACCAAGGCGACGAUCCGUAGCUGGUCUGAGAGGAUGAUCAGCCACACUGGAACUGAGACACGGUCCAGACUCCUACGGGAGGCAGCAGUGGGGAAUAUUGGACAAUGGGGGCAACCCUGAUCCAGCCAUGCCGCGUGUGUGAAGAAGGCCUUCGGGUUGUAAAGCACUUUUGUCCGGAACGAAAAGGCGUCGGUUAAUAACCGGCGCUGCUGACGGUACCGGAAGAAUAAGCACCGGCUAACUUCGUGCCAGCCGCCGCGGUAAUAC